UGUGUGAAGAAGGCCUUACGGGUUGUAAAGCACUUUCGGACGGAACGAAAUCGCGCGAUCUAAUAAGUCGCGUGGAUGACGGUACCGUAAGAAGAAGCACCGGCUAACUACGUGCCAGCAGCCGCGGUAAUACGUAGGGUGCGAGCGUUAAUCGGAAUUACUGGGCGUAAAGUGUGCGCAGGUGGCUGAGCAAGUCGAGUGUGAAAUCCCCGGGCUUAACUUGGGAAUUGCGCUCGAAACUACUUGGCUCGAGUGUGGCAGAGGAAGGUGGAAUUCCAGGUGUAGCGGUGAAAUGCGUAGAGAUCUGGAGGAACACCGAUGGCGAAGGCAGCCUUCUGGGCCAACACUGACGCUCAUGCACGAAAGCGUGGGGAGCAAACAGGAUUAGAUACCCUGGUAGUCCACGCCCUAAACGAUGAUGACUAGUUGUUGGGGGAGUUAAAUCCCUUAGUAACGCAGCUAACGCGUGAAGUCAUCCGCCUGGGGAGUACGGUCGCAAGAUUA
rnacentral:rRNA from 1 species